GAUGAAGAACGUAGCGAAAUGCGAUACGUAAUGUGAAUUGCAGAAUUCAGUGAAUCAUCGAAUCUUUGAACGCAUAUUGCGCUCUUUGGUAUUCCGAAGAGCAUGCUUGUUUGAGUAUCAGUAAACACCUCAAAGCUUUUGGAUUUUUUAAUCGAAAAGCUUUGGACUUGAGCAAUCCCAACACCAAUCUUUUUGAGAUCGGUGGCGGGUUGCUUGAAAUGCAGGUGCAGCUGGACAUUCUCCUGAGCUAAAAGCAUAUUCAUUUAGUCCCGUCAAACGGAUUAUUACUUUUGCUGCAGCUAACAUAAAGGGAGUUUGACCGUAUUGGCUGACUGAUGCAGGAUUUCACAAGGGUCGGCAACGAUUCUUGUUAAACUCGAUCUCAAAUCAAGUAAGACUACCCGCUGAACUUAAGCAUAUCUAUAAGCGGAGGA
rnacentral:misc_RNA from 1 species